rnacentral:rRNA from 1 species
UGAGGAAUAUUGGACAAUGGAGGCAACUCUGAUCCAGCCAUGCCGCGUGAAGUACUAAGGCCCUAUGGGCUGUAAACUUCUUUAGACGCAGAGCAAUAAGGGCCACGCGUGGUCCGAUGAGAGUAUGCGUAGAAUAAGCAUCGGCUAACUCCGUGCCAGCAGCCGCGGUAAUACGGGGGAUGCGAGCGUUAUCCGGAUUUACUGGGUGUAAAGGGCGUGUAGGCGGAGAAGCAAGUCAGAAGUGAAAUCCAUGGGCUUAACCCAUGAACUGCUUUUGAAACUGUUUCCCUUGAGUAUCGGAGAGGCAGGCGGAAUUCCUAGUGUAGCGGUGAAAUGCGUAGAUAUUAGGAGGAACACCAGUGGCGAAGGCGGCCUGCUGGACGACAACUGACGCUGA